GUGGGACGAUCAGGAAGAAGAAGAACAAGGGUUCAAACCCUUGUUCUUGAUAAAUCUUCAAAUUGAAGGGUAGAAUGAAGUCCAAAUUCACAACCGAACAUGAAUUAACGAUUACCAUCACAAGGGGAUCAUAAGGAAUCAUGUCAAGAUGGAUGGGAGCGUUGAAGGCUAACGGGCUACGAAUACCCAAUCAAAUAAGCGAACGCAAAUACGGGCGCGCAAGGUUAUACAUGUUUGGAUGUUUCAUCAAGAAGUGUACGCGGUUGAAGAUCGAGUCAAGACAUGGAUUGUAUGUGGGUGUGUACGUAGUCACUUAAAUUGAGACAUGUAUGUUAGUUUUUGGAUUAAUUUAUAAAAAGAGA